UAUGGCUGUAACUCAUCAACUUAUGGCAGUAUAUUGUCAAUUGAAGUGAUAUUUUUUGAAGUAUAUGUGCAUAUAUUUGUGACCGCGAGCAGGGAGUUCCAAAGCUUUGGGAAUCAUUGCACUGAAGGAAAGAGCCACUUUAGGUGCGAGUGUUGAUCUAUCUGAUCGAAUAAUCAUUGGCUGACCACACUGUUGAACUUGAUCCUGAGGGCGCUAUGUCAGAGAAGCAUGUCUUUCACGCCUGGGAUUAUGUUGUUUUUGCCUCUGUGUUAUUAGUGUCCACUGCAAUUGGACUGUUUUAUGCUUUUAAACCUGGUGGGGCAAGGCAAAAGACAACGGAAGAUUUCCUUGUGGGAAACCGACAAAUAUCUGCCUAUCCAAUCGCCUUCUCGUUGGCUGCCAGUUUCAUGUCUGCUGUUGCAUGUAGGUAUUUUUUGGCUCACUCAUCAGAAAUCACGUAGUGCUACAGAAAUAAAAUGUUCGUCUACCAUU